rnacentral:rRNA from 1 species
UACGUAGGGGGCUAGCGUUGUCCGGAUUUAUUGGGCGUAAAGAGCGUGUAGGCGGCCAGGUAGGUCCGUUGUGAAAACUCGAGGCUCAACCUCGAGACGUCGGCGGAAACCCUCUGGCUAGAGUCCGGAAGAGGAGAGUGGAAAUCCUGGUGUAGCGGUGAAAUGCGCAGAUAUCAGGAAGAACACCAAUGGCGAAGGCAGCUCUCUGGGACGGUACUGACGCUGAGACGCGAAAGCGUGGGGAGCGAACAGG